rnacentral:tRNA from 1 species
GUCUAUAUAGAUUAUUUAAAUCAUGAUGCUGUUAACUUCAAGAAAGGAUUUAUUCCUUAUAGUCG